GCUGCUGCCGAGGUCUGCUGCCGGUGGGAUUUCUUACUUGCCUUUGCUUCACCUACUUUGGAAGUUUCUUCUUGGGUGACAGGCAUUUGCCAAGAAAGCUGGGAAGCAACCUUUCACUGUUUUUCCUUCUGUUUAAGAAACCCAGCAUGUAGGGAGUCACUUGGUUAUGAUUACUAGCACGUGAGUUUGGGGCAGUGCUCAAUGUAGUAGGUGAAGUAGUUUAUUUCCUUUAGGGGUGGAUGAACCUUGGGCACUCAAGCAUGUCAGGGAAUUAGGGGCUUAUUGGUUUUGGAGGACAAGGCAGCAGGGAGGUCCUGGUGACAAGUCCUUGAAGGACGCAGAAGUAACUGCAUGCCAAAGGAGCCCAGGAGACUAGGUCUAGGAAACCUAACCCAGGAGCCUUUUCUGGAGAAUGGGGAGAAUGCAGAAAGAAAAGGCUUUCACAGAGGAAGUAACAAAUUAGCAGGACCAGAAGACUGUGUGGAGGAAAGGAGGAAGCUGAGGGGUUGCCGGUGCAUUUACAAGCUGUUCUGAACAAGUUCUUUGGUGUGCCUGAGUGAGUCACACUGAUAGAAGAGCUCAAGGCCAGUGCUGUGCCAGAUACUUGCCCUCAGCAUGAGUACUGCCUGUAGAUGGUCCAUGUCACUGCGAAUGAGACCUAUCUGCCCUUGCAGCCAGAUGAAGCAUCUUUAUAAAGGCAACAGGAGAGGUGAGCACUCCUGAAGUUUUGCCUGUUGAGUGAACUUUGGCCACUGUGCCCAUCUGGGUGCACGGCUUAACGCUGAGAACAGGUGAUGCAGAGAACACACUGAAAGAGAAGGCAAUCCAGAAAGGCCAGUGAGAUGAAUGCUCCUAAGGGACUCUUCUGAGGGCUAGAAGGAAGAAGCCUGGGAGCACAGGCCAUUUUCUCUCCUUUCCCUAAAGCUCUCAGUCAUUCCUGCCCCUUCCUGCUUUCAUGAGAGAAGCUGAAGAGUCCCUCACCUUCCUCUUACUGCACAGCGGGUGGAAGAGGCUUGCUCACAGAAUGAAAGAAGAAGCAGGAAGAGGAAAAUAAACAGCUGAGUCAUUACUGAAAAAGAAACUCCAACCUAGCCUUCAGGAACAGGGAGGACUGGAAGGGGCUGGCCUGAAACCACAAACGUGGUGGUGGACCUCUACAAAGGCAGUCCCUCUCCAUCUGGCUCCCACAGAGGAUAUGGAGGAUACCAGGCAGCCCUUGCUCAGGGACAGUGGCAGCAUUCAGUGGGUUCCAGCUACUGGGAAAUAUGUGGAAAUUACAUGCUGGUCCUUAGGAAAAUGGAUAUUAGGAGCUCCCCUAUUGACAGCAAAGGGAAAAUUGCCAUUUUCUUGACUUCAGACUGCAUCGAGGCCCUGGUGAACAAGAGAUGCUUGGCUGAUUGUACAGUGGCUUAGAAACUGAAGGCGAGUUCAAAAGUUCCUAACAACACUUCCAAACAAGAACUUUGUGAACACAAUGCAAAAGCGACCAUGCAUAUUUACUGGAAUAAAAAAAACAAAUUAGCUUCAAGCUGGUUUUGUGAUUCCUCCCUGACUUGUAUGUUUACUUUUCAUUAUUAUUGAUUCCUUCUGACCUUCAAGUGCUUCUUCUGCAUUGUACAUGCUCCACAUUGAAUAGCUUACUGGCAAUAAUAUUAACAGCAACAGAAAAUGUUAACAAUAGAGACUACUUGCAUGGAGAGAUGUCACCUUGCGAAAAAAUGUGGGUUUUUUUUCAUCAGAAAAAAUCAUCUGGGGACCAAAAAUAAUACACUGUAUGACCUUGUAUAUAGCAAAACUGACUGGUAUUGCAUGAAUUUUGAUAUCAUAGCAAAUGACUGACAAGCAGUGCAGAGACAUAUGAUCCAUCCUGAAAACAGCUCAGACAUGAGAUUGAUACAUAAGAUUAGGAAGCCAUAACCUCUAGGUGACCCAUAUGGAAAUGAGAGCAAGACUCAAUUCAAUGAGUAAAAUGCUUGCUUCAGCCAAAAUGAAGAAGUUUUGCAUUGAUUUAAUUUUUGCCUUUGACUUUUUUACCACUGCUCUUUGAUAGCCUUGUCAGCAGCCAAGUUUCCACUCUCAUAGCCAUCAGUGAUUUGGGAGCGUGGUUGAAGAGUGCUUCUGAAGAUGUGUCUCCCUUGGCAUCUGCCAGGGUUCCUGUAGCUGUGCUGGUCCCUUCUAACUCUUGGCCUGGGUUUACUUCAGCUGCCUCCCCCUGUCCUUAUGGGAGAGACAGUGAGGCAAUGGCAAAAGUUGCUUCCUCCUCUGUUUCUGAAGUAUCUAUUCCAUGAAGGGGUGCAUUGCUUUCGGGAGCUGACAUUCUCCCCUAGGUGCAAUCAGAGCCUAGAGAUCCAGCCUGCUGCACUAGACACACUGCAUACCUAGAGUUACAUGUAAUAUAUCCAGGCCCUGAUGUUCCUUUGCUAAUUGAUUUCUUCAUCAUGGGCUAGCCUGUUCAGUAAGCAAAAUUUUCCUAGGAGGCAAAAAUGCCUUUUGCUCUGUUUUCCAUGGGGAGCUCUUGUAGAAUAAGGACUAUGGAACAGCUUACUUUGAAAUAGCUGUGCCAGGAGUCCUUCUGCCCUUCUUCCCAGGGUGAAAUUUGUUUUUGUUUUUGUUUUAGUACUAUGGAAAAAAUCCUCUUUCCAUAAGAAGCAGCUGAACACAAAAACCUU